CCUACGGGAGGCAGCAGUAGGGAAUUUUGCGCAAUGGGGGGGACACUGACGCAGCAACACCGCGUGAAUGUUCAACCCUUCGGGGUGUAAAGUUCUGUCAAUAGGGACGAAUUUUGCCUGUACCUAUAAAGGAAGCACCGACUAAAUCCGUGCCAGCAGCCGCGGUAAUACGGGGGGUGCAAGCGUUAUCCGGAAUCAUUGGGCGUAAAGCGUUCGUAGGCGGUAUGUCAAGUCUGAUGUUAAAGCCCGGGGCUCAACCCCGGUUCGGCAGUGGAUACUGGCAAACUCGAAUGUGGUAGAGGUAAAGGGAAUGCCCGGUGUAGCGGUGAAAUGCGUAGAUAUCAGGAGGAACAUCGGUGGCGAAAGCGCUUUACUGGACCAUCAUUGACGCUGAGGAACGAAAGCCAGGGGAGCAAAUGGGAUUAGAUACCCUUGUAGUC
rnacentral:rRNA from 1 species